rnacentral:rRNA from 1 species
AGAGUUUGAUCAUGGCUCAGAUUGAACGCUGGCGGCAGGCUUAACACAUGCAAGUCGAACGGUAACAGGGAGGAGCUUGCUUCUUUGCUGACGAGUGGCGGACGGGUGAGUAAUGCUUGGGAAUCUGGCUUAUGGAGGGGGAUAACUACGGGAAACUGUAGCUAAUACCGCGUAAUAUCUUCGGAUUAAAGGGUGGGACUUUCGGGCCACCUGCCAUAAGAUGAGCCCAAGUGGGAUUAGGUAGUUGGUGGGGUAAAGGCCUACCAAGCCGACGAUCUCUAGCUGGUCUGAGAGGAUGACCAGCCACACUGGAGCUGAGACACGGUCCAGACUCCUACGGGAGGCAGCAGUGGGGAAUAUUGCACAAUGGGGGGAACCCUGAUGCAGCCAUGCCGCGUGAAUGAAGAAGGCCUUCGGGUUGUAAAGUUCUUUCGGUGAUGAGGAAGGUGUUUGUUUUAAUAGAGCAAGCAAUUGACGUUAGUCACAGAAGAAGCACCGGCUAACUCCGUGCCAGCAGCCGCGGUAAUACGGAGGGUGCGAGCGUUAAUCGGAAUGACUGGGCGUAAAGGGCACGCAGGCGGUGACUUAAGUGAGAUGUGAAAGCCCCGAGCUUAACUUGGGAAUUGCAUUUCAUACUGGGUCGCUAGAGUACUUUAGGGAGGGGUAGAAUUCCACGUGUAGCGGUGAAAUGCGUAGAGAUGUGGAGGAAUACCGAAGGCGAAGGCAGCCCCUUGGGAAUGUACUGACGCUCAUGUGCGAAAGCGUGGGGAGCAAACAGGAUUAGAUACCCUGGUAGUCCACGCUGUAAACGCUGUCGAUUUGGGGAUUGGGCUUAGAGCUUGGUGCCCGUAGCUACACGUGAUAAA